rnacentral:tRNA from 1 species
GGGUCUGUAGAUCAGUUGGUUAGAUCGCACCCCUGAUAAGGGUGAGGUCGGUGGUUCAAUCCACCCAGACCCACCA